rnacentral:rRNA from 1 species
UACAGAGGGUGCAAGCGUUGUUCGGAAUUAUUGGGCGUAAAGGGCGCGUAGGCGGUGCGGUAAGUCUGCGGUGAAAUCUCCCGGCUCAACUGGGAGGCUGCCGUGGAAACUGCCGUGCUUGAGUGCAGGAGAGGAGAGUGGAAUUCCUAGUGUAGCGGUGAAAUGCGUAGAUAUUAGGAGGAACACCAGUUGCGAAGGCGGCCUGCUGGGCGUAUGGCUGACACUGAGGCGCGACAGCGUGGGGAGCAAACAGG